rnacentral:sRNA from 1 species
UAAGGCGACGUCUAGACUUGGAUGUGG